rnacentral:lncRNA from 1 species
GCCGCUUACCCACACUAUUUUGUUAUAAAAAGAGCUUUCAGACAAGCUUAAUAUCCCUCUCUUCCUCAUCUCGAGGUGCUCACAGGCUGCUCACUUAAGAUUGGGCACUUAUAAACCACAUGACCUCAUGAAUGCUAUCUUAUCACAUCACAGGUUCCUCAGACUGACCACAACAACUUAAAUCAGACAGGCAGCAAAGCAGCACAAAGUCUCUGACAUGUACUACUCGUAUGACAUUUUCAGCUAUCCCCCUUGUGGGAGAGAAAAUCUGAUUAUCUCAUGUCCAACUGCAUCAGUGAGAUAAGAAAGAAGAGCCACUUAGAGAGUCAAAUCACACAAAUUUCCAGUCGUGGACAGAAUGGAAGCCCAGACACUGCUGCAGAAGCAAAGAUAAAAAAUGUAAAGCUAAUUGGAUAGUAGUGUACUCCAGCAAGCCCAGCACUCUGGGAGGCUGAGGCAGGAAGAUCACAAAUUCAAGCCCAGCCUUGGUAAUCUAGUAAGACCCUAUUUCAAAAUACAAAAUAAAAAGGGCUGAGGAUGUAGCUGUGUGAAGGCCCUGGGUUCAAUCCCAGUGCUGCCACUCUCCCAAAGUAAGGUAAGAGUGGAAUUUUAAUAACUAGAUAUUGAGCACUCAUCUUAGAGAAAUAAUUUCUUUUCAUCCAGUUAAAUGGCUAUUUUGAGCUGGGUAUGGUGAUGUACACCUGUAAUCUCAGCACUCAGGAGGCUGAGGCAGGAGGAUCACCCUAAGUUUAAGGUCAGCUUGGGCUACACAGUAAGUUCAAGGCCAGCCUAAACUAUAUAGUGAGACUCUGUCUCAAACAAACAAAAACAAACAAACAAACAAACCCUAAAAUAAUCCCCCCAGGUUAUUUAUGAAACUUCUACUGCAUAUAAUACAUGCCGGGUAAGUAGGUCAUCAGGGUUACAACAGGGUGAAGAUUAAAGCCAGAAUGUAGCUUAGAAGCCAGAAUGCCUAGGCAUUAGUUGCCUCUCAUCUACUAAGCAGCUGUGUAACUCUGGGUAAGUUCCUAAACUCUCGGGGCCUCAGCUUUAUCAAAUAAAAAAAUGAGAUAAAUUUUAAGAACACUUCUAGUUUAAAAAGUACAUGAAUCUUAAAUUUCAGUGUUCUGUAUUGCUGUAGUUUGGAUCUUGGUCCCUAGGAUGGCACUACUGGGAGGUGGUGGAACUUAUGAGAUGGAACCUAGUGGGAGGUGAUUAUUAGCAUUAAGGGAGCGCUCCUGAAGGAGCCAUGGAACCCUGGCUCUCUGUUCACCCUUGUUCACUCCUUGGCCAUGAGCUGAAAGGUUUUACCUCGCCAUAUGUUGCUGCCAUGAUGUGCUGACUUGGUACAUAUGCAAAAGCAACAAGGCCUAUCAAUCAUGGACUGGAAGCUCUAAAACUGUGAGCCCAAAGUGAGCCUCCUCUCUUUUCAAGUUUAUCAUCUCAGCCAUUUCAUUAUAGUGACGGAUAGCUAAGAAAAUAUUUAAGUUGCCCAGGUUGGCCUCAAACUUGGGAUCCUUCUUCCUCAACCUCUUAAACAUCUCAGAUUAAAGUUACAAAUCACUGUGCCUGGAAAAAAUGAGUUUUUAAAAUAUACAUGUGGUCAGCAUGUGGAUUAGGGGUAGAACACUUGCUUAGCCAUGUGUGAGGCCCUGAGUUCAAUUUCAAACACUGUAAGGAAACAAAAAGAGUGAUAAGAUUUAUAAUUAGUGCAGACUGUGUAAGGGCCCUACACCUGUAAUCCUUUCACAGGAUUAUAAAUAUGAUCUCAUUAUUUACAUGGAACCUUUUGGACAGUGAAGACAGUGCCCUGAGGCCCGGAAGCUCAUGCACGGUACUUUAUAAUGCUCUAAUUAAAGAAAGAACACAUUUAAAGGAAUUUUUUUGGUAAGAAGCUGCCAUUCUGGGAAAACCAUUUUCUACUAUAAAAACACACAUGAAAGUUGACAACUCCAUACAUUGACAUUUUUCUUAACAUUAACAUUUUCUUGAAAAUUCAAC